rnacentral:rRNA from 1 species
CACGUAGGCGGUUUCCUAAGUCAGAGGUGAAAUCCAGUGGCUCAACCACUGGCCUGCCUUUGAAACUGGGGAACUUGAGGCCGUGAGAGGAAAGCGGAAUUCCUGGUGUAUCGGUGAAAUGAGUUGAUAUCAGGAGGAACACCGGUGGCGAAGGCGGCUUUCUGGCGCGGUUCUGACGCUGAGGUGCGAAAGCAUGGGGAGCAAACG